ensembl:lncRNA
GUUGUCCCAGCUCUGGAGGUGUUCAAGGCCAAAUUGGAUGGGGCCCUGGGCAGCCCGAUCUAGUGGGUAACAACUCUGUGUGGCAAGACUUUUCCAGAGAGAUCAAGUCGUCAACUUUCCUGUGCAGUAUUGACUAUAGAAGGAUAAUAGCCAUCCACCUAGAACUACUGAAGUUAGAAUGACAGUGAAAAACUCUUUGGCCUUUAUUCUGCUUGAGUCUGAUUAGAGGCUGAUCUUCUAGAGAGGAGCUCUGUGGAGAAGGACUUGAAUAUCCUAGUGGACAGCAGGUUGACCAUGAGCCAGAAGUGUGCCCCUGUGGCCAAGAAGGUAAAAGAUAUCCUGGGGUGCAAUAAAAGAAGCGUGGCCAGAAGGUUGAGGGAAAUGACGCUCCAAUUCUACUCUGCCCUGGAGAGGCCACGUCUGGACUACUGUGACCAUUUCUGGGCUCCUCAGUUCAAGACCGCUAAUUUCUAGACAGAGUCCAGCAGAGGGCCACAAAGAUGCUUUGUGUCCUGGAGCAUUUCCCAUAUGAAAAAAG